rnacentral:rRNA from 1 species
UCGCUCCUACCGAUUGAAUGAUCCGGUGAAUAAUCUGGACCAUAGCUGUCCCGGCUUCGCUGCUGGGAUGCUGCCAUGGAAAUUUUUAUGAACCUUAUCACUUAGAGGAAGGAG